AGAGAUGUGUGAUGACGCAUAUCAAUAAGCGGAGGAAAAGAAACUAACAAGGAUUCCCUUAGUAACGGCGAGUGAAGCGGGAAGAGCUCAAAUUUGAAAUCUUCAAGGUUCUACCUUGACGAAUUGUAGUUUAUAGAAGUGUUUUCUGUUAGUAGAGUGGCAAAAGUUCUUUGGAAUAGGACAUCAUAGAGGGUGAGAAUCCCGUAUUUGACCAUUACUUUCCAACUGUGUGAUACACUUUCAACGAGUCGGAUUGUUUGGGAAUGCAGUCCAAGAUGGGUGGUAAAUUUCAUCUAAAGCUAAAUAUUGGCGGGAGACCGAUAGCGAACAAGUACCGUGAGGGAAAGAUGAAAAGAACUUUGAAAAGAGAGUUAAACAGUACGUGAAAUUGUCAAAAGGGAAGCGUUUGACACCAGUGUUGUUUUUCCGAAAAUCAAUUAAGAAUGUUUUAUUUUUGAGGAGUUAUGACUUCAUCGGCUUGCUCCUUUCUUUAUGGAACUUUCUUAAUGCACUUUUCGGUUAACAAGUCAACAUCAAUUUCUUUUGUUGUAAAAGAGUAUGAGGAAGGUGGCUUUCUUUUCGGAGAAAGUGUUUAUAGCCUUGUACUUCCGCAAUCGGAGUGAUUGAGGUCUGCAGCGUAGAUCCUUCGGGGUUAGAUACAUUUGUGCUAAGUUAUAGCUUUUCAUAGACAACUUGUUGAUUAUGAUUAGUCUUGUAGCUUACUCGCUUAUGCUAUUUUACCUACGCUUAGGAUGUUGAAGAUGUAGCACAUCAU
rnacentral:rRNA from 1 species